rnacentral:rRNA from 1 species
UACGGGGGGGGCAAGCGUUGUUCGGAAUUACUGGGCGUAAAGGGCUCGUAGGCGGCCAACUAAGUCAGACGUGAAAUCCCUCGGCUUAACCGGGGAACUGCUGGGCAUACUGCGGGUCUUGGGCCAACUAGGGGCAGCCGGAACAAGCGGUGGAGCGGUGAAAUGCGUAGAUAUCGCUUGGAACGCCGAAGGUGAAAACAGGCUGCUGGGGUUGCGCCGACGCUGAGACACGAAAGCCAGGGGAGCAAACGGG